GUGGGGAAUAUUGGACAAUGGGCGCAAGCCUGAUCCAGCCAUGCCGCGUGAGUGAUGAAGGCCCUAGGGUUGUAAAGCUCUUUCACCGGAGAAGAUAAUGACGGUAUCCGGAGAAGAAGCCCCGGCUAACUUCGUGCCAGCAGCCGCGGUAAUACGAAGGGGGCUAGCGUUGUUCGGAAUUACUGGGCGUAAAGCGCACGUAGGCGGACAUUUAAGUCAGGGGUGAAAUCCCGGGGCUCAACCCCGGAACUGCCUUUGAUACUGGGUGUCUGGAGUAUGGAAGAGGUAAGUGGAAUUCCGAGUGUAGAGGUGAAAUUCGUAGAUAUUCGGAGGAACACCAGUGGCGAAGGCGGCUCACUGGCUCGAUACUGACGCUGAGGUGCGAAAGCGUGGGGAGCAAACAGGAUUAGAAACCCCUGUAGUCC
rnacentral:rRNA from 1 species